rnacentral:tRNA from 1 species
UGUUUGAUGGCCGAGACAAUUAGGCAAUAGACUGUAGAUCUAUUUACGGAAUUAAAUUUCCUCAACAA